GACGAACGCUGGCGGCGUGCCUAACACAUGCAAGUCGAGCGCACCUGCUUUCGGGUGGGUGAGCGGCGAACGGGUGAGUAACACGUGGGUGACCUGCCCUUCACUCUGGGAUAAGCCUGGGAAACUGGGUCUAAUACCGGAUCUUAACUUGCUCUCGCAUGGGGGUGGGUGGAAAGUUUUUUCGGUGGGGGAUGGGCCCGCGGCCUAUCAGCUUGUUGGUGGGGUGAUGGCCUACCAAGGCGACGACGGGUAGCCGGCCUGAGAGGGCGACCGGCCACACUGGGACUGAGACACGGCCCAGACUCCUACGGGAGGCAGCAGUGGGGAAUAUUGCGCAAUGGGCGGAAGCCUGACGCAGCGACGCCGCGUGGGGGAUGACGGCCUUCGGGUUGUAAACCUCUUUCGACCUCGACGAAGCUUUCGGGUGACGGUAGGGGUAGAAGAAGCACCGGCCAACUACGUGCCAGCAGCCGCAGUAA
rnacentral:rRNA from 1 species